CACAGUGUCCAUAUGAUAAAAAAGGUCUGCAAAUGACAGUGUUGCUGUGGACUGUUGUGGGCAGCCUCUUCUUCGUGUGGGCAUCGAAUACAAUGGCGGAAGCGCGACGGAUGACGACACCGGCGUCUCGACUACCAAGAGAGCGCAAGGCCGCGGAAGUCACUCGGAAACCAUGCCAGACUCACUUACAAUGGUGCUUUAGUUACAAGGACUGCUGUGAGGAGAACCCAUGCUACGGGUUCCGGUGCUCCGACCUAAAAAGCUGGGGUAACCAACUAGGCCCACUCACAACGGCGAUCCCGCCGCGCCAUGAAUAAUUGGGCCUACCUUCCCAACUCACCGGAAAUGGCUUACAAUCUUGCCGAUGCCACGCACCACCGCUCUUUCUUCAUGACCGAUGGUUUUAUGGUACAGUGCGUACGUCUGAAUAAAAUAAU